CGCCUGUUUACCAAAAACAUCGCCUCUUGCCCAUAUAAGAGGUCUAGCCUGCCCAGUGACUCUUGUUCAACGGCCGCGGUAUCCUAACCGUGCGAAGGUAGCGUAAUCACUUGUCUUUUAAAUGGAGACCGGUAUGAAAGGCAUCACGAGGACUAAACUGUCUCCUUUCUCUAAUCAGUGAACCUAAUCUCCCCGUGAAGAAGCGGGGAUUCUUACAUAAGACGAGAAGACCCUAUGGAGCUUUAAACAUCACAACACAUGCCUCACAUUUCUAUCUACCCAGGUAUACCCUCUCACAGCACGCUGAUUGUAUGUUUUUGGUUGGGGUGACCGCGGAGAAAAACUAAUCCUCCGCAAUGAAAGGGAUUUUCCCUAAACAAUAAGCCACAACUUUAUGUAUCCACAAAUUGACAUUCAUUGACCCAAUAUAUUUGAUUAACGAACCAAGUUACCCUAGGGAUAACAGCGCAAUCCACUUUAAGAGCCCCUAUCGACAAGUGGGCUUACGACCUCGAUGUUGGAUCGGGGUAUCCUAGUGGUGCAGCCGCUACUAAAGGUUCGUUUGUUCAACGAUUAAAACCC
rnacentral:rRNA from 1 species